GUAUAAGGUUUAAAGGCACUGGAGCCCAAUUUUACAUUCUGUUACAUACUAUGGGGGUAUAUUAAAAAACGUAGGCUUGGAAGUGCAAAGAAAGCCGACGCAAAGAGCGCAGCAUUCCUCCCGACCGAGUUACCUCGGAAAAUUCAUCCAGGUCUACAAGAGGUGCACAGGUGGAGAGAUGAGGAUGGCGGGUGUGCACAUGCCCCCACAAGAGAGCCAGCAACAACCACACCAAAUUCAUUCAAUAAUGAUCCUUCCGCAGGUUCACCUACGGAAA
rnacentral:misc_RNA from 1 species